rnacentral:lncRNA from 1 species
CCUUCAUCCUGUCUUCUGCAGCAGAUUUCUUUAGUUUCUAUUCUCACACCCUCAAUCUCUUCUGUUAGCAAACACUCGUGCUCCCUCAUUCUAAAAAACCUUUACUUGAUACAUCCAUCCCCACAAUUAUCCCAUAUCACUAUUGUGUGAAGAUGAAAUUAACUCUCCCCUGCUCAUUUUUAGAUUUAAUCACCAAAAGCAUAUAUACUCCACUCCCACUUUGAGUGGGAAAGGCCUGUGACACGCGUGUGCAAUAUAGUAGGUGAUAAAUCAGAAUUGACUGACUGCCCUCUGGGCAUUCCUAAGCAAAGCUUUAGCUGUAAUUGGUACAGGUCAAAUGGAAGAAAAUCACAGGAAGUGAUGAAAAGGAAUGGUCUUUAAAAAUGCCAAGAACUUCCUGGGAGCUCUCUCCUUCAGUCUUCAACUUGACUUUGGAGGAGCUUUGGCUUGAGGUCUCAGACUGCUUCCCUUUGGACUGGCACAUGGAAGAAAGCGGCAUGGAGGCAGCAAAAGUUCAGACCUCUGAAAACCCUUCCUCACCGCUUAAAAACAAAAUGCUCCUAGAGGACUGAACCAAAAUAACAACAGGACAGAGCAAAGGAACCCUCCUGUACACCCCCCAAAAGCCUGAAUUCGAGAACACUGGGGCUUAAGGGGAAAGGAGAAGGAAGGUCCCAGGAACCCUCCCCCACCUACAGUACUGAGCCUCCAGCAGUGACUGGAAUCUCUGGUCAGAUGUAGUCUUUCAGGCAAAGCUGUGCCAAGCUCAGGGAUUUGAUCACAGGUGUCAGGGAGAAAACUGGAGGAGAACUUCAAGGAGGGCAACCCAGUUCUAGCUGAGACUCCAUAUCCCUCCCCCCCUUUCCUGAGGUUUUGGCCUCAGGGCAUAUCCAGCUUUGCAAGUUCAACUUUGCUGGGCUUAAUCUUAUCAAGACUCCAGAGGGCAAGGAAGCUCAAGCUGGAACACCCCUCCCCCAUAGACUGCUCUGAGAGCCUUGCUAAGCUCCAAGGGUGAAGGCUGACUGGAAAGACCAAACCCACAGACCCAGCACAUAAUGAGAGGAGCAAGACUACAGGCAACUACAGAUGGUCUACCUAUCUCUAUUCCCAGCAGCCCAAUGGGAGCAUAUCCUCCCUCCCCUGUCUGGAGUUGGCAGGAGGUGGGCUCACAUGUGGCAUAAGGGUGGCAAUUUGGGCACUUGGUCUCUAAAAUGUUCACCAUCACUGUUCUAGAUGGAUUCCAAAGUAUGUUCCAUGUUAAAAGUUAGUCUAAUACUGAAAGACUAAUCAUUUUUAAAAUUCAUUUUGGAUAGUGAGUUUACUAUGCAUCCACAUUGAUCUCUUUAGUCAAAUCCCAUUUCUACCUUCAUUGGAAUUCUUUCU